rnacentral:lncRNA from 1 species
UCUUCUAGAACAAUGGUCUUACAUUUUUAUGAUAUCCUAUUAUGCAAAGACUAUACAAGUGAAAGUAGAACUGGCAAAGCUCUAUUGGCCCAUGGUCGAACAGAAUUUGGGGGGCAACAUUAUUAUAUUUGAGCUGGACUUCUCAUUUGGUCACACCAAGUUUUUUGACUAAAAAGAGGGUCCUUACGCACGCUUCAUCUUGUAUAUCUCUGCUGCGGUUCAUUCGCUCCAAUUACCUACAGUUUGAAUUGAACCUUCCUACUUCAAAUAAACGUGUUACAAAUGCGUACGAUAUAUUUUUCAGAGAAAAGGACUUCAAAUUGAAACUCACAGGAAUACGGAGAAGCUCAUUUUGAGACUAAUAGUUAAAAAAAAUCCGAUUGUUAUCGGAAAUUGACGGGAAAGUAAACGUAAUUCCACUAUUAAUGGCGCCUCCUCAAGAUGGCAAAGCAGCUGAAGUCAAAGAGGAAUCUGUACCUCAACGCCCAAUCUCCGAUGUCGUUUUCAUUAUUGGUACUCCAUUUUUCUAUAUAUAUUUUGAGAUUUUUUUGUGUUUGUUAGUAUGUAUUUAUAUGCUAACUUCUUUGUGUGUGUGUGUGAAUGGUGAAUAGCUAUGAAGAAGGAGGCUUCACCUCUAGUGGAGAAGUUCCAGCUCACCGAAGAAUCCAAUUCUCUGUGGGCCUUCUUUUUUUAUUUAAGCUUUAUAAGUAAUUUAGUUCAGUUGAGAUCCGACCAAAAAAAAAAAAAAACUGAGAAAAAUGAGGAUUGGGAAAAAGUAAAGGAGACUGACUGUCUCGUACAAUUUGUACUGGUGAUCUUUGGAAAGUUUAAGCCUACUGUAGUGAUAAGUGGAAUUUAAUAACGACUCGUUUAUUUAUGCUCAGUCAUUGUUGGAUUUAAAAUAAAUUAAUUGGAAAAGAAUGUGUUUUGUUAUAUUGUUGCCAUUCUACAAGUGGCCGUUACCCUUUUAUGAUUUGUUUUAUCUAUUAUCAUUUUGUGAAAAUGAUGCAGGUUUCCAAAGGGGGUCCCGUGGGUGAGGUACAGUGGAAAAUAUAAAGAUCUGAAUAUCAACAUUGUUUCCCCUGGAAAAGACAUAGUUUUGGGUCUCUCUCUCUCUUUCCUCCUUAAUUCUUGAUGGCAUGUUAUGGAUUUUGAUUUUGUUACGUGAAUUGUUUUCAGUCUCUGGUAUAUGUGUUCACUAUUAAGCCUAAUCUGCUUAUUUCUAGAUAUUUUGUCAUUUUGGCCCUAUUGUGAUGAUAAGAUUCUUUGAAAAGAUUUGAACAUAUUUUCUCCGAAACUAAAUAAAAUUAAGUACCAUGUAGUUAAGAGCGAUCAAUAAACCUUAUCCUUGGGCCAUUCAAUAUUUUUUCAUCCAGGGGUGGCGGUGGGUAGGGGGAUUGGUAUCGGAGGAAUCACUAUGAAAGUGGUUGAUCAUUCUUGAGUAUAUGUUAUUUUUAGUAGAGGAAGAAGGUAUGCAGUCACAUUAAGUUCUGUAACUGGAUUAUGAAUAUUGUGAUGCAUUAUGCAGUUUAAGGAGCUUUGUUGUUAUUUGUUGCCAUUGUUGGUUAGUCACCACAGUGAAUUUCCGACCGCUGUGUUCUUAAUUGUUUCUUUAUCAGGUGUUGACAGCGUAGGCACAGUUUCUGCAUCACUUAUAACUUAUGCUUCUAUUCAAGCAUUGCAACCAGACCUUAUCAUAAAUGCAGGCACUGCUGGAGGUUUCAAGGUAUUAUGAAUGCGGAUAUGAUGGCUUUCAUUUUUUUAUUUUUAUUUUUUAGAUGUGUUGAUCUUCUGAACCUUAUCAUAAUUGUUUAUAUUUCCAUCCUCCUUUUUCCAUGUGGCAUUUAUCGAUUCUGCUGCUGAUAGUUUUUUUCAUAUAUGUAAAAUUUGCCCUGGUUCCUUCCUUUCUUAUUCUUUUAACCAAUUUCUUUAGAUAUUUUCUUUUUCUUUUUCUUUUUCUUUUUCUAUUUUUACUUGUACUUUCUAUUUCCCUCUGUUGUUUGUUGUCUGACUGAUUCUGUAUUUAUAUGGACACCAAAAUGUUAAAACUUCUUUCCUAAAAAGUCAAUGUCACGUUUUCAGUAAAGAAUUUGAUUUAUUUCUUUGUGUUAUGACAUUUUACGCACAUUUUAGGUUCUGGCUUCCUUCGACUUGUACUAGAUGGAAUCUAUUACCUUGCUGAUAUAGAAGUUACAGUCAUAUCUUAAAUAUAGGAUAACAAAGUCACACUUACUACAGAGAGUGUUUAAUCACUCUUUUGUUGCAUAUCUUAUAUUGAUAUCUAGAUUUUACCAGGCAAAAGGUGCUUGCAUAGGUGAUGUAUACCUUGCAUCAGAUGUUGCUUUCCAUGACCGAAGAAUUCCUAUCCCUGUAAGUUUUUCCGUCUUUAUUUUUCCUCAUUUAUUUUUUCCUGGUGCAUGGCUGGGGCAGAUACAAUUAGACAUCAUCAAAUGAAAGCAACACCAAAUUUAUUGGGAACAGAAAACAAGGCUCAAUUUUUUGUUACAUAUACACAUCGUAGGGGAAAAAUAUACUUUAUUGUGUUCUCAAUUUGUUGUUUAUAGGAGCCCAGUAGUAAUGAAAACUGAAGAAGGGUUCCAUUCUUUUAAGGUUGUGGCAUGCACUAAUUUGCUGGUAGAGAAUUGAUUUCUAGAUCACUUUACUAGGUUGGCUUAUGAAGUGAUAUACAUAUUAGACUACUUGAAUUCUAAUAUUUGGUAAAGUUUCUUCUGUUACUGUGAGAAAGUUGUUUUAUGUUUUGUCAGGCUGUCUUUCAAUUUAACUUCUAUGUUACUUUUUUUUUGUCCAUGUUUUAUUGGAAACAAUUGAAGCUUCCAAAUAUAAUAUAUUGUUUAUAUUAAGAAAAUAUAUGUAGAAAUUUAGUGGCAAUUACGCCAUGAGUCUAUUGCAUUACUAAUGGUAAGAAUUCGAACAUCUCAAAUUUGGGAAGUCACGGCGAUAGAGCAAGUCAUUGAAUGUCCUAGCUAAUCCUUUACAUUGGAUACCUCGUAGUAUUGCUGGUGUCCAAAAGACCUUUGCUAGAAUGGAUCAGUUUGCUGGAGUUUAUCCAGUUGUUUUAUGCUCGUUAUGUACUAGUACUUGUGCAUCUUGAUCUGUUCUUCGCAGUUUAACUUCAUUGUUAUCCAGUUACCUCCACUUUACCGGUUAGGGUUGGGCAAAACUUUCGAACCGAACUGUACCCGAACCGAGCGGUUCUUAUUAAAUUAAAUACCCAAACGGGUAACCGAAUCGAGAAUUGAGGGGUUCAAUUUGGUUCUCGAUUCUAGAUCAAUAAUUGAAUAACCGAAUAAGAACCGAAUUUUCCUAAUUUUUUAAAUUUAUUUAUUUUAAAUAAGCCAAAUUAUUUUAUUUUUUCUAAAUAAAUUUGCUAACUAGUUUUUUUAGCUCAACCCAAAAAUAUGAUUUUCCUAUCUCUAAUUUUCAGUCCAAGUCCAACUUACAAGUCCAACUUAAAUUAAAUUGACCCAAUUUUUAUCCAAAUAUGUUAUUUUACUAUAAUGUCGUUUCUACCAUUCUGGAGAUAUUGAAUUGAAACUCGAUAACGUCUCUCUUAAUUAUUAUGAGCUUGCUAUCUUCCUCUUCUUGUGAUUUUAACAAUCAAAAUUAUGAAGAGCUCAACAAAGAUAAACAUAAAAGAUAUACAAGAUUGGACUACGUUAUUUUGUAAGAGCUAAGAUUGAACAUGCUUUGUAAAUAUUAAAAAAAUUAAUUAUAGUACAGAACUUGAAAAUCGAACUGAACUGAAUGGAACCAAAUCCGAACGGUUCCAUAAUUAAAUUUGGACUCGACGGUUCUACUUACUAAAUACCCGAAAAUUUCGGGACCUAUUCGGUUCUCGUUAGAACAGAACCGAAUCGGACGAUGCCCAACCCUAUUAUCGGUUAUAUACAGGUCAUUUACUAUCUAUUUGAAGCAGUAGUCGUCUGCACCCAAAAAUGUUUAUCUAUGUCUACAACCAUAUAUCGAGUUCAUUUACUUUAAGAUUAAUGUGAAUCGUGCUAUUGUUUUGGAUAACAUCUUAACCUUAACGUGACUUCUUUCAAUCUGCAGGUAUUUGACCUGUAUGGUGUAGGCACACGACAAGCGUGCUCAACCCCCAAUCUUGCGAAGGAGCUAAAUUUAAAGGUCGCUACUGUGACGCCCCGAACUUAAGCUUCGAGGGUCACGUACUAAACAUAAUAACUUCAAUCUUUGGUACAUGUAAAUACUCUUAAAUAGAAGUAUUACAUGUUGGAAACUUAUUUUCAAUUUGGUAAAAUAAUUCUUAUAAAAUUCAAUAGCCAGUAGAAGUGCCUGUCGACAAGAAAUUAUAUUUUACAUAUACGGACUCGACACUACCAAGGUUAGUUGGGGCAGCAAGUUUGACAAUUUUUAUAAAAUUCAUCCCAACUCCGUUUUACAUGAAAUUUGCGGCAUUAGAAAGAUAAUUUCAUGUAGUUUUCUAGGUUAAAAUAUGAAAAUUUUUCAAGAUCAUAUGAUAUGGACGUUUUACUGAAAACAGUGAAAUGUUACACAGGAAAUCCUGAUUGACCCCUUGACGUUUAAAAAUUUAUAUCUCAGGCCACAAAUAUCCAAAUUGAGUAAAUCCUGCGGCCAUAUUUUGAAAACUCAAAGAGGAACACAGAAAUAUUUUUAGAGUCUCGAAUGGAUGUUUAUAGAGUUAGAAACAUCGUUUUGAAGUUGACCCCAAAACUGUCCCGUUUCUGCCUUUUAUCACUUGCAAGGAGAAAUUUUCUAAAAGAUGUCUCUUAACACAACAUGAAAGAUAUGAUUACAAACUUUACUUUUAAUACCAUAUUACAUCAUGUCAUAUACAUGUUUUUAUAUAAUACCAUAAGAAAAACAGAUGGAAAGCAGUCAUCGAACAAAACAUACAAAAGGAAACUUUCGAUGCAAAACAUCUUUGUCCUUAACCCAUCAUCGCUUUUGCCAACUAACUUCCAUCAAUCCAACGAUCAUGGAUCUAAAAAUUUAGUAUAAAAUACUAUGAGUAUAAGGAAUACUCAGUAAGAUACCAUGCUUGAAUUUUAUCAUGAUAAUACUACACAAAAGAAUGCAAUCAAACACAUACUUGCACCUUCUGGCUUGCCGAUACCCUUCGGACUUGUCGAAUAUGUAGGUUAGAUACAAAUUUAAAUUUGGGAUACACUUUGCUAAUAAUGAAAGGUAGGGGGAUUA